rnacentral:rRNA from 1 species
UACGUAGGGUGCGAGCGUUAAUCGGAAUUACUGGGCGUAAAGCGUGCGCAGGCGGUUCGUUGUGUCGGCUGUGAAAGCCCCGGGCUUAACCUGGGAAUGGCCGUUGAAACUGGCGAACUGGAGUGUGGCAGAGGGGGGUGGAAUUCCGCGUGUAGCAGUGAAAUGCGUAGAGAUGCGGAGGAACACCGAUGGCGAAGGCAGCCCCCUGGGCUAACACUGACGCUCAGGCACGAAAGCGUGGGGAGCAAACAGG